CGAACCCGGGCCACACGCAUGCCAGGCGAGCACGCUACUGCUUGAGCCACAUCCCCAGCCCCCCCUGACUGAGUUUUAAGGACAAGACAGUGGUCUCAACCAGGGACGAUCUGGCUUCCCAGGGGCCGGUGGUAAUGUCUACGGACAUCUUUGACCCUCACAACUGCAGAGAGUAUUCCUUGGAAGGAGAUUCCCCUAAGUGUUAAUAGGAAGUCUUGGAGAAAAGGCUACUGUAACAGAGCCUCUAAGAGAGGGACAGAGGAAGCUGCGUUUCCCCAACAUUUUGGGCACAAACCAUUUAUUCGGAAGAGUCUUUCUUGGGACCUCUUCAGAGCUGCUUGGACAACAGGGAGCCAUGGGAAAAUGACUCAGGAGCGAGAUCCAAUUUUCAUUGGACAUAACUGGUCCAGUCUACGUAUUGUGAAGACUCAACUGGGAACCAGGGUGGAGACCAGAGACCAAAGGAAUAUUUGGGUGGAGCUGACUCUAUUCCUCUAGGGGCCUGUUAAGUUGCUGAAGCUGGCCUUGAACUUGUGAUCCUCCUGUCUCAGCCUCCCGUGUCACUGGCAUGAGAGGUAUGCGCCACCACAUCUGGCAAGCCGAUGUUACUAUUUCAUGAAUAAAUUUAAAAUUUACUAUC